CCUACGGGGCGCAGCAGUGAGGAAUAUUGGUCAAUGGACGAGAGUCUGAACCAGCCAAGUAGCGUGAAGGAUGACUGCCCUAUGGGUUGUAAACUUCUUUUAUAUGGGAAUAAAACAGGGUAUGCAUACCCUCUUGUAUGUACCAUAUGAAUAAGGAUCGGCUAACUCCGUGCCAGCAGCCGCGGUAAUACGGAGGAUCCGAGCAUUAUCCGGAGUGACUGGGUGUAAAGAGUUGCGUAGGUGGCAUAAUAAGUAGCUAGUGAAAUCUGGUGGCUCAACCAUUCAGACUAUUAGCUAAACUGUUA
rnacentral:rRNA from 1 species